rnacentral:lncRNA from 1 species
CUAUAGUCUCUCAAAUCAGGCAGACCUGAGUUUGAGUUUUCCAUUCUACCAACUAUCCUAGUGACCUUGAGCUACUUCUAUGAACCUCAGUUUUCUCAUCUGUGAAAUAGGAGAUAAGAAUGACCUGUUUCAUACUUUCAGGAUUACUGAAAGAAUUAAUGAAAUAAUACAUGUAAACCACCCAGCACAGAAUACAUGCUCAAGCCCUGCUAUCAGUGAUUACGAUUGUGAAUAUGACUAUGAUCAUGACAAGUAGCAUAGUUUGCUGUGAGUCCGACUUCUCUUCCUAGCAAGACUUGCCUGCCUGGCACACAAGUCAAAUAAUACUUCCCUCUUAAAUAUUUUUUAAUAGCCUGAUGAAGGAAUGAGUUUUAACCUGGAUCCAUGCUCUUGAAAGUCAAGAAAUGUAAUGGCUCCUCUUUAUUCCAUUUGAUCUACCCUCAUUGUUCCUUCAACUUUCUUCCCAACUUUCAGAAACAACCAGAGAAGGAAAGAAUGAGAAAGCUUCGUUAGAAACAGGAGAAUGUUUUUGAGCAUGUGGAAAUUGGGGAGCAUGAGGUUUACUUGGGAAAGUGGAAAUGGGGUAACAUAAAAUGAACUAUGAAAGCCUUUUAGUCUAAGUGAGAAGAAAACAAAUCCUGAUUUAUGUAUAUGUCAAUCGUUGAUGCAUCACAACGAAAGGCCAGUCUAGCAGCUACUUUUUGCCCCCACAUUCCAAAAUUCUGCCUUGAGCCUUUAACAUUUCUUUAAGACAAACCCCAUCACGUGCUGGCUGUAUUUCAAAAGUACUUGUGAACAAUAUGCGAAAUUAACCCAGGGUGUUAUGAACCAAGAAAUUAUGACGAUAAAGAAGACAAUAUCACCAGGAGACUGAAAAGUAGUGUUCAGGAUUUAUAAAAUCCUUUGAAACAUGUUGUUUCCAGAUGUAGGUCCCGAGUGCCCUGUCAUUUACUUCCUGUCCAAGCGCUGAGCAGAUGGAAUUACACAAGUCCGGCUGUAUGAUUCCACCCUCCAAUGCCUUCAUUAAACUCCAGGAUUUUAAAGAGUCUGCCCAAUUCCUGGCAGGGACCUUUCCAUACUUCCACCCCCAAAGCUGUAAAUUACUACCUCAUUAAACUCAAUUGUAA